GAUGAACGCUGGCGGCGUGCCUAAUACAUGCAAGUCGAGCGAACGGACGAGAAGCUUGCUUCUCUGAUGUUAGCGGCGGACGGGUGAGUAACACGUGGAUAACCUACCUAUAAGACUGGGAUAACUUCGGGAAACCGGAGCUAAUACCGGAUAAUAUUUUGAACCGCAUGGUUCAAAAGUGAAAGACGGUCUUGCUGUCACUUAUAGAUGGAUCCGCGCUGCAUUAGCUAGUUGGUAAGGUAACGGCUUACCAAGGCAACGAUGCAUAGCCGACCUGAGAGGGGGAUCGGCCACACUGGACCUGGGACCCGGUCCAGACUCCUACGGGAGGCAGCAGUAGGGAAUCUUCCGCAAUGGGCGAAAGCCUGACGGGGCAACGCCGCGUGAGUGAUGAAGGUCUUCGGAUCGUAAAACUCUGUUAUUAGGGAAGAACAUAUGUGUAAGAAACUGUGCACAUCUUGACGGUACCUAAUCAGAAAGCCACGGCUAACUACGUG
rnacentral:rRNA from 1 species